CACACACACACACACACCAACAGUGCAAAAUCACUUCUAUCCCACUGGUUCCUGAAUACUUAAUUUGUACCUCUCUAGAACAUAAGGAUUUAAAGACACAGGCUGACUAGUUUCUUGCUGUUUCAAACCUGAGAUACCAAACAGAAAAAGAAGAAGAACAAGAAAAAGUCAAGCUGUCUUCAAAGAGAGUUUCCAAAAUUAUAUGAGCACUCUCGCAAAACCUGAGGUCCACGUUCCCUGCUACUAUGGAUGGUCUACACGCCCUAAUGACGAGGAGAUCACCCGUAAAAACAUGGAAGAAAUUCGUGAAGUUAAAGCCAAAAUAGAGAAGGAAGUUCCACCUAUGAAGGAAGUAGAGAAGGUCCUGACCCUCUGGGCAACAGAUACAAAGACUAUCUUCCAGAGACAGGAAUUCACCGAACAAAAUUAAGAAAGGACUACAAGAAUUGAUACUUCUCUAGAUCUUGAGCAAGUUACAGAUUUCUCUAAAUUGAGCGAGAGGCGGAAGCAAGUUCUGUCCUCCUGAGGGCCCUGUUCCCCCCUGAGGAAAGAUAAGGGGCAUCACAGAAGAGCUCAUAAGACAACAGGAGGAGAUGAAAAGGACACAAAUGGAGGAAAACAGUCACACCAUCACAUGAUGAUCAAAUGUUACACGAGGAAGAAUAAGAAGUGAAACCAAAAUGUUGGAAAAGUCAGUGAAACAGAAGACUCAUUUGAGAAAGUGGAAUAGAGGAAAACAAGGAAGAAAGUGAUUAGAAAAAUGUUAAAUAUGGAAGAUAGAGAUGUGACAUACAGACAAUUGCUAAUUCUAAAGAACACAACAAAACUGAUGGUAUAGCGGAAAAAAUUAAAGACAUACAGUGAAGGAAAACUUCCCUGAAUUUACAUAACUCAAUCCAUGGACUGAAAAAAUUCAUUAUAUACCCAGAAAAAUCAUUAGAGUACAAUCAAGACAGGAUGUGUCCUGACAAAGUUAACUGGUGCUCAAGGGCAGACAAAUAACCUGCCAACAAUGAAGCAGAAGCAGCAGAUGACGCAUAAUAGGGAAGCAAGUUAAACCCUCUACAAUCUCCUCUGGUCUUCUCCACAAUAUUAGAUGAUAGGAGACAAAAGAGCAAGGCCAAUGGAGUGUUGAAUGAAAGAAGGGACUCAAGAAAUCUUUAUAAGUUAAAAUGUCACUCAUACUUAAAGGAAACAAAAAGUCAUUAUAAAAUUAGAUGGAACUCAAAGAUUAUAGCGCUCAAGAGUCCUUUAGAAAAAUGCAGUCAUAAUUUAGCCAAUUAAAAGUUAAAUGUAGGGCGCCUGGGUGGCUCAGAUGGUUAAGCGUCUGCCUUCGGCUC